rnacentral:misc_RNA from 1 species
CAGACGAUCGUUCCUGGAUUUUAAGCAUGAUGUCGAUAGUCGUCAUCGCCAAAGACAGUAUAAUCGGUGCUCCAGCCAAUAGGCUCACGUUGGGCCUCCACCUCAUCCAAGAUGGUCGGUUUGCUGCUCCUGUGUUUAGACACCUUCUCGGCCUUAUUUAUAAGUUUCUGAAAUGCAUCUGGUCCAUUCUCUUGAAUAUAGAGCUCCGCGGCUGUUAGGACAUCAUCGGGUCUACUGAAGACAUCCUUCUUUCCUGGAACAUACCAGAUGUUGACAGUUUGUUGCUUCACAAAUAAUGGCCUGACGAAAUGUUCGUAAACAUAGGCAGCGCCGCUGAAAUAG